UCCUAUUAAGGUUUAAGGAACUCCUUGGUAUUAUCAAAUGUCCUAAAUCUACUGUGAUUUUGAAUGAUGUGAAAUCUUUGCCAGUGAUUUCGGAUGAUGGCAAAAUAUUAGUUGGAUUAGAAUCCAUAGAAAUUUUGCUUGAGAUUGUGCAAAGAGGGUCACGUGAUGCAAGGCUAGAGGGUAAAUGUGAAAAUAAUUUUAAGGCAGAUAAUAAAUUUGUCGAAGAGAAUAAAAAAAAGAUUUUGAAGCUGAUGCAUGAAACGGAGGCGGAAAGUUAAGUAACAUUUCCUUGCAAUUGUACAUAUAUCCUAUGAAAGGUCUGCCUCUUUUCAGCAUAAAUCUAAUGCCAAGACUGAGUUGAGGGGCAUCCAUAUGUUCAGGGUUGUGACUACUUUGGUUCAAGACCGACCGGUAGUGUGUGAUAGAUCAUCAGUCACAACCACCUCAAGCAAAGCAGUAGCAACAUCGAGAUAGGCUUAGC